rnacentral:rRNA from 1 species
UGGUGCAUGGCCGUCGUCAGUUCGUACUGUGAAGCAUCCUGUUAAGUCAGGCAACGAGCGAGACCCACGCCCACAGUUGCCAGCGUACUCUCCGGAGUGACGGGUACACUGUGGGGACCGCCGCUGCUAAAGCGGAGGAAGGAAUGGGCAACGGUAGGUCAGUAUGCCCCGAAUAUCCCGGGCUACACGCGAGCUACAAUGGUUGGUACAAUGGGUAUCUACCCCGAAAGGGGACGGAAAUCUCCUUAAAACCAAUCUUAGUUCGGAUUGAGGGCUGCAACUCGCCCUCAUGAAGCUGGAAUCCGUAGUAAUCGCGUUUCAACAGAACGCGGUGAAUACGUCCCUGCUCCUU